rfam:Triticum aestivum genome assembly, contig: Triticum_aestivum_CS42_TGACv1_scaffold_257705_3DL
UUUCUACUCCCUCCGUCCGAAAAUACUUGUCAUCAAAAUGGAUAAAAAGAGAUGUAUCUAAAACUAAAUACGUGUAGAUACAUUUCCUUUUAUCCAUUUUGAUGACAAGUAUUUCCGGACGGAGGGAGUAUUUG